GGAGGUUGUACUUAAGAGUUCUACAGAGAGGCUUGGUUGCCUGUCCAGCUGCUGUGAGAGGGGAACUCCUGAGGACUCUCAGAGAAGCGGCAAUAGCCCCACAAGGAGCAGCAUAACAGACGGUAGGAAGCAGAAGCACAGAGCCAUGGAAAAAUUGGCCACCAGAGUGGGGAUCUGUAAUAGACUGCCAAGUCAGGAAGAAGUACUGGAUAAAGCACUCUUCAAGGGAAGCACAAGAAAAAAAGGCUAGAGACCAGUGUCUGCACAAGGAGCUUCCAAGAGGCCUCAACAGCAAAACAAAAGUGUACAACCAAUGGAACAAUGAAGAGGCAAACCAGCAAGGAAACAAACCAGAAAAUAGCAAGAACUUGCAUGGACAAAAUCAGGUCUGCAGAACUGGCAGAAGGCCCCACUCACUUCCCAGGGACCCCUGAGCCUGGAAGAGACUUCUUUUAUCCAGUCACUGACUUCAAUAUUAACUCUCUUACCUUUAUUG